rnacentral:lncRNA from 10 species
GACACUCUCAGGGCCUGAGAAUAGUAUAGAUAGUUGCCUGGAAUCCACAUGAUAGAAUUGUUCCAGAGAGGGAGUUUACACUGGGUCCCACCCAUUCCUCAAGAACCAAGCAACUGUAGCACAAAGCCAUUUUGAGAGCCCAGCCCUCACAGGGCUACAUCCUGCCCUGGAGCCCAACAGCUCCUACAUCUCCACAUCACCGGAGAGCUGCAUACUCCACUACAUCCAGCAAGAGAGCUGAAAUGUUGUGACACUACCUGAAAUGGUACAAGGGCGCACCCUCCAGGGACUGAGCAUAUGUCUGCCCUUAUUACCAUCAUUGCCACUGGUACCCAAGCGUGCCAUCCAUGUACCUAGGGAUAGGCCAGGCACCCAUGCGCACCAACAGGGGGCUUGAGGGUAGGCCUGCCCCACCUAUUGCUGCUACUGCUGGUGACCACACAUGUCAUCCAGAGGGCCUGAGGAUCAAUCCACCCCAUCUGCCACUACUGACAUCUGAACACACAUUUCAGUGGCCUGAGGACAG